GACGAACGCUGGCGGCGUGCUUAACACAUGCAAGUCGAGCGGUAAGGCCCUUUCGGGGGUACACGAGCGGCGAACGGGUGAGUAACACGUGGGUGACCUGCCCUUAGCUCUGGGAUAAGCCUGGGAAACUGGGUCUAAUACCGGAUAUGACUCCAUGACGCAUGUUGUGGGGUGGAAAGCCUUGUGCGGCUAGGGAUGGGCCCGCGGCCUAUCAGCUUGUUGGUGGGGUGANGGCCUACCAAGGCGACGACGGGUAGCCGGCCUGAGAGGGCGACCGGCCACACUGGGACUGAGACACGGCCCAGACUCCUACGGGAGGCAGCAGUGGGGAACCUUGCGCAAUGGGCGAAAGCCUGACGCAGCGACGCCGCGUGGGGAUGACGGCCU
rnacentral:rRNA from 1 species